rnacentral:rRNA from 1 species
UACGGAGGAUCCGAGCGUUAUCCGGAUUUAUUGGGUUUAAAGGGUGCGCAGGCGGGAGAUUAAGUCGGCGGUGAAAUUUUGCAGCUCAACUGUAAAAGUGCCUUCGAUGCUGGUCUCCUUGAGUGUGGAUGAAGUAGGCGGAAUUUGUGGUGUAGCGGUGAAAUGCUUAGAUAUCACGAGGAACUCCGAUUGCGCAGGCAGCUUACUAAACCACUACUGACGCUCAGGCACGAAGGCGUGGGGAUCAAACAGGAUUAGAUA